rnacentral:rRNA from 1 species
GACGAACGCUGGCGGCGUGCUUAACACAUGCAAGUCGAACGGAAAGGCCCUGCUUUUGUGGGGUGCUCGAGUGGCGAACGGGUGAGUAACACGUGAGUAACCUGCCCUUGACUUUGGGGUAACUUCAGGAAACUGGGGCUAAUACCGGAUAGGAGCUCCUGCUGCAUGGUGGGGGUUGGAAAGUUUCGGCGGUUGGGGAUGGACUCGCGGCUUAUCAGCUUGUUGGUGGGGUAGUGGCUUACCAAGGCUUUGACGGGUAGCCGGCCUGAGAGGGUGACCGGCCACAUUGGGACUGAGAUACGGCCCAGACUCCUACGGGAGGCAGCAGUGGGGAAUAUUGCACAAUGGGCGGAAGCCUGAUGCAGCAACGCCGCGUGCGGGAUGACGGCCUUCAGGUUGUAAACCGCUUUCGCCUGUGACGAAGCGUGAGUGACGGUAAUGGGUAAAGAAGCACCGGCUAACUACGUG